CAGCAGCCACGGUAAUACGUAGGUGGCAAGCGUUGUCCGGAAUUAUUGGGCGUAAAGCGCGCGCAGGCGGAUCAGUUAGUCUGUCUUAAAAGUUCGGGGCUUAACCCCGUGAUGGGAUGGAAACUGCUGAUCUAGAGUAUCGGAGAGGAAAGUGGAAUUCCUAGUGUAGCGGUGAAAUGCGUAGAUAUUAGGAAGAACACCAGUGGCGAAGGCGACUUUCUGGACGAAAACUGACGCUGAGGCGCGAAAGCCAGGGGAGCGAGCGGGAUUAGAUACCCCUGUAGUCCCUGUCUCUUAUACA
rnacentral:rRNA from 1 species